rnacentral:rRNA from 1 species
CUGACGCUGAGAGACGAAAGCGUGGGUAGCGAAUGGGAUUAGAUACCCCAGUAGUCCACGCCGUAAACGAUGGAUAUUAGACAUUAGGAGUGUCGACCCUUUUAGUGUCGAAGCUAACGCAUUAAAUAUCCCGCCUGGGAAGUACGGCCGCAAGGCUAAAACUCAAAGGAAUAGACGGGGACCUGCACAAGCGGUGGAGCAUGUGGUUUAAUUCGAUGAUAAGCGAGGAACCUUACCAAGGCUUGAAAUCUCUAGAAUCCCCGAGAAACCGGGGAGUGCCGCAAGGAACUAGAUGACAGGUGCUGCAUGGUUGCCGUCAGCUCGUGCCGUGAGGUGUUCGGUUAAGUCCAGUAACGAGCGCAACCCCUUUCAGAUGUUGUAUUUUUCAUCUGAGACUGCCCGGGUUAACCGGGAGGAAGGCGGGGACGACGUCAAAUCAGCAUGGCCCUUGACGCCUUGGGCUACACACAUGCUACAAUGGGAAGUUACAAAGGGUCGCCAAGCCGAAAGGCGGAGCCAAUCCCACCAAAACUUCUCUCAGUUCGGAUUGAGGGCUGCAACUCGCCCUCAUGAAGUUGGAAUCGCUAGUAAUCGUGAAUCAGCAAUGUCACGGUGAAUACGUUCUCAGGUCUUGUACUCACCGCCCGUCACACCAAUAGAGUCGGUAAUACCCGAAGUCCCUCUCCUAGAGGGGGCCCACGGUAGGAUCGGUAAUAAGGGUGAAGUCGUAACAAGGUA